GCCUCUGUGGAUCAGUGUUAGAUCACCUCUUCGAAAUAUUGCCGUUGUACUCCAGUGCAAGAGAAGACGUGGGUUUGAAUCCCACCAGAGGCA